rnacentral:tRNA from 1 species
AGGCGCGUAGCUCAGUGGGAGAGCGCUUCCUUGACACGGAAGAGGUCAGGGGUUCAAUACCCCUCGUGCCUACCA